AACAACCAACUUAGAACUGGAACGGACAAGGGGAAUCCGACUGUUUAAUUAAAACAAAGCAUUGCGAUGGCUGGUGACUGGUGUUGACGCAAUGUGAUUUCUGCCCAGUGCUCUGAAUGUCAAAGUGAAGUAAUUCAUCCAAGCGCGGAUGACGUUCACGUCGUGGGCCCUGUCAGUGUUGCUUACAACAUUGCGAACAUGCCUGUUAGGUUUCGGCUGGGCCGAACCUGUGUGUCGGAAUUAAACAAUUUAUACAGUAUGGCGUUGCAUGUGGCACGUCUACCGACACAUCCCGGUGGUAUCAGUAGAAGAGCAAUGCCCUAUGAGUUAUAGGAUUGGCCAACAUCGCGUUUGUCGUAAAUGUUUAUUUUUAAAUUUGGAGUUUAUGCAGCUCUCACAUGUUAUGUCCAGUGUUAUGUUUGAGUUGGUCAUCCGUUGCUGAUGCUGGUUCCUAUUGGUUGCCUUCAUAAUGGUUUAUUUAACAUCUACCAACAUGGG